rnacentral:rRNA from 1 species
CCACAUCAUGAAAGCCGCUUGUACCCGAAGUCGCUGUGCCAACUCGCAAGAGAGGGCAGGUGCCGAAGGUAUGGGUGGUGAUUGGGAUG